rfam:Triticum aestivum genome assembly, contig: Triticum_aestivum_CS42_TGACv1_scaffold_485731_6AS
AUGACAGUUUCUUCAUAAAUGCAUGGCAACUUAUGGUGUAGGUCUCGACAACUAGCACGGGACGUAGCACCAUUAACGGCUAUUAUGGCCUGGUUGAUGAAGUCUAACCUGUGGGCCAGAGCGUGAUUAACGGCUCAGAUCAUGGUUGUGAUCAAAUCCUGUAGAGGAUCGUUCGUGGUAGCUUCUGGCUUACCCGGGUGGCACACAGGUUGUCUGACAGGC